rnacentral:rRNA from 1 species
AUGGACUCUAGUCUCGUCUUCGGUCCCACAGUACAACCACAUGCAGUGGCUCCGGAACUGGAGAGGCUGGAUGCGACGCCUGAGGAAAACCUCCAGGAGGUCCAUGCCCGUCACUCCCUCCCGAACCAACUGCACCACGCGCUCCAUCAACAUCUUCACGUCGGCUUUCUCCUCCGGAAUCAGCUUCAGAGGGGAAGGCUUGCUCACUCGGUCCAUGGUGAACGGAGGGAGUCCACUCGACUGCCCUGGCGUCGACUGGACCUGGCAGUAGAACCAAGUCGACUGCCAGCCUCUGACGGACUCGGGAAAGGUCAUGGGCGGGAAGGUGCUCUUAUUCCUCACCUGAAUCCCCAGGCCCCCGCACAUUUGGACGACUCGGGUUCUCUCAUCACCUGGGCUCGCCUUCUUCACGGUCUGAGAUCGACACGUGAAUAUAUGUUUGAACAAACCCCAGUGCGGUCGACAGCCCAAGAAACCCUCACACAUGGACACGAACGCAGCAAGAUAGGCAAUGGAGUUUGGGAUAAAGUGGUGGAGCUGCGCUUCGAAGAAGUUCAAGAAGCCACGAAAGAAAACACUCGGCGGCAAGGAAAACCCACGAUCAACAUGAGUGGCCAAGAGCACACACUCACCCUCUUCUGGCUGGGGCUGCCACUCCUUCCCCGGAAGCCUCGCAGCUCCGUGGGGGAUCAAGCCCUCGUUGGCCAUGUCGAGGAGGUCAUUCUCCGUGAUGGUCGACUGGAUCCAGUCUCCUUGGACCCAGCCCUUCGGCAGGCGGGAUCUGGACGAGGAUCCUCCGCGGCUGGUGGAUCUCCCCUUCGCCUUCUCCGAUGCCGACGCCUUCUUUGCACGCUCCAGCGCCGCCAUCUUCUCCUUGGCCAUGGUCGCCGGCGAGAUGCGCGAAGGGAAGUGGUGCGGGGGCGAGAGCGAGCACGCUGA